rnacentral:rRNA from 1 species
UGGGGAAUAUUGGACAAUGGGGGGAACCCUGAUCCAGCCAUGCCGCGUGUGUGAAGAAGGCCUUAUGGUUGUAAAGCACUUUAAGCGAGGAGGAGGCUACUAGUAUUAAUACUACUGGAUAGUGGACGUUACUCGCAGAAUAAGCACCGGCUAACUCUGUGCCAGCAGCCGCGGUAAUACAGAGGGUGCGAGCGUUAAUCGGAUUUACUGGGCGUAAAGCGUGCGUAGGCGGCCAUUUAAGUCAAAUGUGAAAUCCCCGAGCUUAACUUGGGAAUUGCAUUCGAUACUGGAUGGCUAGAGUAUGGGAGAGGAUGGUAGAAUUCCAGGUGUAGCGGUGAAAUGCGUAGAGAUCUGGAGGAAUACCGAUGGCGAAGGCAGCCAUCUGGCCUAAUACUGACGCUGAGGUACGAAAGCAUGGGGAGCAAACAGGAUUAGAUACCCUGGUAGUCCAUGCCGUAAACGAUGUCUACUAGCCGUUGGGGCCUUUGAGGCUUUAGUGGCGCAGCUAACGCGAUAAGUAGACCGCCUGGGGAGUACGGUCGCAAGACUAAAACUCAAAGGAAUUGACGGGGUCAUAGCUGUUUCCUG